GGUUUUGUGGUGUAGUGGUUAUCACGUGUGUCUCACACACACAAGGUCCCCGGUUCGAUCCCGGGCAAAAUCA